rnacentral:rRNA from 1 species
UUGGAGGGCAAGUCUGGUGCCAGCAGCCGCGGUAAUUCCAGCUCCAAUAGCGUAUAUUAAAGUUGUUGCAGUUAAAAAGCUCGUAGUUGAAUUUCGGGAUCAAGGAAUCGGUCAUGCCUCGGUAUGUACUGGUUUUAUUGGUUCUCACCUUCUAAAGAACCAUAAUGUCAUUUAUUUGGUGUUAUGGGGAAUUAGGACUGUUACCUUGAAAAAAUUAGAGUGUUUAAAGCAAGCUCACGCUUGAAUACAUUAGCAUGGAAUAAUGAAAUAAGACAUCCGAUUCUAUUUUGUUGGUUUCUAGGAUCGAUGUAAUGAUUAAUAGGGAUAGUUGGGGGCAUUAGUAUUCAAUUGUCAGAGGUGAAAUUCUUGGAUUUAUUGAAGACUAACUACUGCGAAAGCAUUUGCCAAGGAUGUUUUCAUUAAUCAAGAACGAAAGUUAGGGGAUCGAAGACGAUCAGAUACCGUCGUAGUCUUAACCAUAAACUAUGCCGACUAGGGAUCGGAUGAUGUUUAUUUUUUAGUGACUCAUUCGGCACCUUACGGGAAACCAAAGUGUUUGGGUUC